CUCGCCAAUGAUGACCAUCCAAA
rnacentral:miRNA from 1 species